AGCCAGACUCCUACGGGAGGCAGCAGUGGGGAAUAUUGCACAAUGGGGGAAACCCUGAUGCAGCGACGCCGCGUGAGUGAAGAAGUAUUUCGGUAUGUAAAGCUCUAUCAGCAGGGAAGAAAAUGACGGUACCUGACUAAGAAGCCCCGGCUAACUACGUGCCAGCAGCCGCGGUAAUACGUAGGGGGCAAGCGUUAUCCGGAUUUACUGGGUGUAAAGGGAGCGUAGACGGCAUGGCAAGUCAGAUGUGAAAGCCCGGGGCUCAACCCCGGGACUGCAUUUGAAACUGUCAGGCUGGAGUGCAGGAGAGGUAAGUGGAAUUCCUAGUGUAGCGGUGAAAUGCGUAGAUAUUAGGAGGAACACCAGUGGCGAAGGCGGCUUACUGGACUGUAACUGACGUUGAGGCUCGAAAGCGUGGGGAGCAAACAGGAUUAGAUACCCCAGUAAAG
rnacentral:rRNA from 1 species